GACGAACGCUGGCGGCGUGCUUAACACAUGCAAGUCGAACGGAGUGGCGAACGGGUGAGUAACACGUGGGUGAUAUGCCUUGCACUUCGGGAUAAGCUUGGGAAAAUGGGUCUAAUACCGGAUAGUGCAAGAUGAGCUCGCGGCAUAUCAGCUUGUUGGUGGGGUAAUGGCCUACCAAGGCGUCGAAGGGUAGCCGGCCUGAGAGGGUGUACGGCCACAUUGGGACUGAGAUACGGGCCAGAGGCCGACGGGAGGCAGCAGUGGGGAAUAUUGCACAAUAGGCGGAAGCCGGAUGCAGCGACGCCGGGUGGGUGAUGAAGGCCUUCGGGUUGUAAACUCCUUUCGACAGGGACGCGGUACCUGUAUAAGAAGCACCGGCUAACUACGUGCCAGCAGCCGCGGUAAUUC
rnacentral:rRNA from 1 species